AACGGCUGUAUCAAUUCCUGGUUAAAUGAUUUUACAUAAAACUAUGUUUUGGUAGUAUUGUUUGGCAAGAACAAUACACUACAGAGCAUGAUUUGCUAGUUGGUGGCAUGCCUCUUCUCUUUCUAUCCCCUCUUCCCCCCUUUCUCUAGCUGUCAUCCAUGAACUGCACAACCCAAAUCUUCACAACGGUCCCAUUUCCUUCCCUCUUUUCCAACCCCAACUUCAAAUCCCCAAUUUCUCCGCAUUUCGCUCCUGGUUAUGUCCAUCAAAACCCUAGACCCCGCCUUACCCUGAAACAAGUCAUCCAACCAUCGAGGACCAGAAGACUUGUAGUCCAUUCCACAGCAACCAGAGAUGGCGAUGGCGAUGGCUUAACUGGGAACUGGGGAAACUGGUUGCCCGCUGGAGCUGUUGCAGCUGAUAAGGUUCUGAGAUUGAUCUCCAAUGCCACCUCCAGCCCCAUCUGCCAGUUCAUUUCGUUCCCCGCCACGUUUUUGCAUUCAGUGGAUCCGAGAAUCAAAUUGGUAUGGGUUCUUGCCCUUGUUGUUUUACCAGCAAGGUCACAUAUCAUGAUGCGCUUUGGAUUAGUAGCAUUCUUGGCUCUCUUGUCUGUAUUGAUUCUACCAAAAUCUGUAUGGAUGGAUCAAUUGGGAAGAGUUUCCUUGCUCUCUGGAAUUUUAUUUGUCAUGCUAGGGCUGGGUUCAGAUGGUGCGCCUCCUCUUGUCCAGUUAAGAACCCCGCCAGCAGCAAUGAUGGGUAUGCCUAAUCUUCCUGCAUCUGUGAGGGGUUAUUCAUAUUUAAUUAUGAAGCUAGGGCCACUGCAGUUGACGAGGAAAGGUCUGUCAGUUGCAAGCACAUCUGCAUGUUUAACAUUCACUAUCUUCCAAAGUGCAAGCCUUUGCCUGACGACCACAUCCCCAGAACAACUUGCAUCUGCCUUGCGGUGGUUUAUGAUUCCCUUGACAUAUGUUGGCAUUCCAGUGGCUGAAAUUACUCUGACUCUCCUCCUUUCCCUGAGGUUCAUCAAUCUUGUGUUUGACGAGGUGCGUAAUGUUGCAUUGGGUAUCGUAUCUCGGAGGAUAAAUUGGAGACAGUUGACUAUACAGGAGACGCUUGAUGUUCUAUUUAAUUAUGUCCGCCGGAUCUUCAAAAAUAUAUUUAGCCAUGCGGAGCAGAUUUCUCAGGCAAUGAUUGUUCGAGGGUUUAGAGGGGAUAGCAGCAGUCAUCAAAUUUAUUUCUUACCAGAUCUGGCAUUUGGGAUAGCAGACAUGGUUUCUUUGUUGUGCCUUGCUGGUGUUAUAGGUGCUGCUGUGCUGUCCGAAUACGUCCUCGUUUAAUUUUGUUGCCGUUUUUGCCUUGUUUCGCAGCAGAGCUAUAUGGGUUUGCCCUUUUCUUCUUUGGUGGAACUGCGGGAGUGGUUUUAUACACAUUAAGCAUCACAAAGCCAACACAUCUUAGGUGUUUGAUGUGCAGCUCCUCUUUAUUGUGUAUACGUACAAAAUGCAUUUGAACAAAAAGAAGUCUUCUUGGAACCCUUUGUGUGAUGUCCAUUGCUGUUUGUUGGCCUCUUUCAAGUUCAUCAAUACAAUUUCUAUCAGCUAAUCAUAUACUUCCCGUCAAAAAGGAAUCUCUUUAUUAGAGCUUUUCACUCCCUGGAGUUAUUGAAGGUUUUUAAAUUUCACCAGAAGUACCAAAAUUUCAGAUUUCAGGCUUCCAAUUCCUCAUUUAUCCUUGAACUUGGCUCAAGAGGAAGGCUGCAGUAGUUCAAAGGAAAAUUUCCAACUUGCAGCUUACAAAUACCAGCCAAGAAAGUGCCAUCAACCUCAUCCUCAAUAUUCAAUAGGGAUGCGCUCACUCUUUCCCAAUUUGACUUUCAAACCAACAACUGCCUUGAAGCAAAGAAGGAUGCACCUCAGGUUGAGGUUUUGGGUUUAUGUUUUGGUGGAAGUUGGCCAUUUUGUAGGACACUGAAAAAUAUCAAGGCGAAUGGUGAAAAUUAUGACCAAUAACUCUGAAUUCUUUGCUCGAAUCCAAUAGUCAGCUAUGUCAGUUUUCUUACGAACCACAAAUACUUCAUCACUGGUGUUUUGAACCCAAUUGGAUGAUUUCAGGCUGAUGUUCUUGCUUGUAAGAUUUGUUAGUCUUUAUGGGCUUAUGAGUUAAUGAGGUUGCCUUUGUAGGUCAAUAUGAUUUUGAUUUGUUUGCAGUAACCAAAUUCAAUAUGGCUAUCUAUUUAUUCUUAUCUUGCUGUUUUCUGGUUCAA